UCCUGGCCACUGCCCGUUUUGAUCAGGUGUUUAGUUGACGCUUGACAGCUCCCUUGGGGCGGGGAUUGGGGGUGGCACUCUUUUCCUAAUGCACUCAAGAUGAGCGACAAGCAAUAACAAGAAUGGGCAACAAGACGAAAGUUAUAGUAACGGGUUUUGAGCCUUUUGGAGAACAUGCUGUGAACUCCAGCUGGGUGGCAGUACAGGAACUGGAGUGUUUGGGGCUCGGCGAGGCGAUAGAUCUUUAUGUGUGUGAGGUGCCUGUAGAAUAUCAGGCAGUGCAGAGUCUACUGCCAUCUCUGUGGGAAAAGCACCGACCACAGUUAGUGGUCCAUGUUGGUGUGUCAGGUUUAGCAACCACAGUGACUCUGGAGCAGUGUGGCCACAACAAGGGCUAUAAACGCUUGGACAACAGCCGCUUCUGCCCAGCUUCCCAAUGUUGCAUGGAAGAUGGGCCCGAUUGCAUCAGCUCUCUAGUAGACAUGGACACAGUCUGCAAAAGGGUUAAUGACACCGAUGUAGGGGUAACUGUGUCAGUGUCCAAAGAUGCUGGAAGAUACCUGUGCGACUACACCUACUAUUCAUCUCUGGUCCUCGGCCACGGCCGCUCUGCUUUCAUCCAUGUGCCUCCGCUGGGAAAACCCUACAGCAGCCAGCAGCUGGGCCGAGGCCUUCAGGCUGUCGUGCGGGAGAUGCUGACACUACUGGAGGUGGCCAACACUGAAGAGCAGCAUGGCAAACAUGCACAUCAACAUCAGCAUGACCUCCUCUGACUCGCUGAUGGAGGUAACAUCAAGAAAGGCCUGAAGUGUACCAAAUGUCCUUGAAUGCAUCACAGCAGAGGUCCAUUCAGAUGUGGCAUUUUCACAAGCACUGAGUUUAACCAGGCUCUGCCGGAGGUCAUUGAGGUCAAAGAUCUUGAUGUCUAGAAUUUCGAUGGCCCUCUGGAGCUCAGUGUCAAUGCGGUCUCGGUCCUCCAGAGAGAUGCUCAAGUUCUGCUCCGUGUUCUGGAUGCGGCGCUCUAGCUCGGAAUUACGCAUCUCCACUUCCUGUUGAGGAGAUUCAAACAUUUUAAAACUACUGCUUUGUUGCUGUGUAGAAAAGAUAGACACUCACCGGCCACUUCAUUAGAGCCUCCAGUUCCUCUAGAGACUGAGUCAGCUCAUCCUUCAACAGGUCACUGGGGCCGUGACCCCCGUGGGCCUCCAGAGGACUUUGGUUACCCCUCAGAGAGCAUCUUCUUGAUGCGCUCCUUUUCAGAGGACAGCGUGAUGUCUGCGCUUUGACUGCGAUACAGCUUGUCCUCAGGCCCGUUCACACACAUGACUGGAGGGGACUGGAGGUCAUCGGAGAGGUCCUGAAGAACAAAUCAGUCUGAGGUGACGCCGUGAGGGCCGAAAAGGAAGCUGUUGGGAUAAUUUUACCAUCGUCCAACAUUCUUCACUGUCGCUCCCCUCUGAGAUAAGUGACCCACUUCAUCUUUCUUUCCCUUUACUUCCUCUUGCUUCAUUUCUUCCUCCUUCCAUUCUGUCACAGCGGUCCCAUCUAAUAACUGGCCACACACACGUGUGUGUGCAGCUAUUCUUGGUACAUCUUAUGAACUCAACUGGAUUUAUUUUUAUUGUGCUUUCACAAUAACCACAGCCCUACUAAAUCGUGGUACAGAAAGGAUCAAAUAAUCAAUAUUGUACAGUCUCAGCAAACAAAAUGGUUUCUAUUCAAAAUAGCGACCUUCAAAAUGGCACUUUGCAUAUAGAAUUGAUUUAUGAACGACGGUCUAUUUCAUCUUUAACAACUUUGCACUCACCUGCGGUGCAGCGAUGUUGAGGGCUGUAUUUGCCAGUUCUUUAUCUUGGGACUUUUCACGAGCCAAACGAGCUGCAUCUUUCACAUCUUUAAACUUCUCCGAGAACUUGUCAAACAGAAGCAAAAUAUUGGAAUGGUAAUGAAAUCAACAUGGGAAGAUUAGUCACCACUGUUAUUUCAAAAGGACUCGAGUGUCCGUUACCUGCUGCAGCUGUUGCUCUGUCGCAAAGCCCAAACCGUAGACCGUGUUGGCCCUGCUGUCAGCCCACUGACCAAACUUCUGUGAUGUCUUUGUAAAUGUCAUGCUGGGUGUAACAAUGCAGUUGAUAAUUGCCUACCAACAAAUAGAUUACAGGAGGAUUCAAAUUAAAUACCUUUUUUUUUUCUCUGAAAUAAACCGAUUGGAUGUGUGUCUUGAUGUGUGAUAAAAUUCAAGGACGGUUUGUUUUAAAGUGGAACGAUUUGAUUUGGAUGGAUAAAGUUUCCUUCAAAGAGAUUCAGGUCGUUUUCUGUUUCUCCCUUAAUUUUUAUCGUGUCACACCAAGAUCUAUUGAUUUAUACCUUGACUAGAGAGUUUAAUUUAUUGCAUGAGCAAGCUUGUAACUAAAUUUACUUAUUGAGCAAAUCAAUGGAAUGCUAUUAAUCUCUUCCAGCUCCCCCAGCAAAAAAAAAAAAAAUGUUAUAUGCUUACAAACCUUCACCAGUCUCAGUGCAUAAAACCAAUUCAUGAAAAGACAUGAGCUCAAAACUAUUUAUAAAGCUUGUGACGUCAUCUCCGUGUCUUAUAAUAAUGGCACUGAAUGAAAAUCCUGGAACUGUGCACCAGGUCGGGGGCUUUAAAGGAAGCUCUUUGCCUUUGUGUCCUUAUUUUCCUGCCAAAAAAGAAAAAAAAAAGAUUACAUGGGCUGACGUCUGACUGUCGUCUGUCUUCUCCUUUGCCAUGGAUGACAUAACGUGUUGGAUGCAAUGACACGGUUGAUAUGCUAGAUGCAGGCGACAGUGAAGAUUACACUUCAAGGCAAAAACAUGUGCCUGGGAAAGAUUGGUCCGUUGACCGCACAACUGCCGCUACGCACGGACCGGACGGACGGCUUUCUGGCAGGCAGGAAUGUGGGUCAGACUCGAGGUGCAAGCAGAUCAGAUAAAGCCCCCCCACCCCCACCCCCUCAGUACUUGAUGUGUCGUCCGUAAUCUAAAUCCAGAGAGCAGCCACAGAAAUGCUCUGCAGUAUUGUUGCUUUAUUGACCAUUUCUUACUAUUGAAACUGUUCAAAUAUGACUAUUUGGUUAAGGGAUGAAUGUGAACAUUUAUUUUUAUUUCAAAGAUGUCCAAUCAAACUGGAAUUGUUCCAUUUGAAAUGUACCGUCCUUGAAUCAUCAUAUAUGUUCUUUCCAAACAGGUUAGAUUUGCUGCAGAAAUCCAGCUAAUUGUAAAGGAUAGGCAUUUGUUUUCUUGCAACAUUAGGCCAUCAUUUAUUUCACCUUGGUGCCACCCACGCUGAUGAUGCGGUAGACAUUCCGAUUAGAGUCAAAGAAGAAAGACACGCUGACCGCAUGCUUGCUUGCCGGGAUCCAGUUCCUCUUAGUGGCCGGGUCGAUCUGGAAGACGUGAGCCCGCGUGCUGAAGAUCGGCUGCUCUCUGGAGGAAAACAACAAAAGGUGAAGACUCGAACUCAAAAAAAAAAAGUUUGAUCUGAUGAAUCAGACAUUUUAAAUGGUGGCAGAUGUGUGCUGACUCCUUUUUAACGAGUUCUAUUGUGAUUUGUUUAUUCUGAACACUGCCACAUCAAUUAUAUGAGGGUGUGUGCACUUGUGCAACUGCAUUAUUACAGUUGUUUGCUUCAGCAGCAUGUGGCACUUGAAGAUACUGCUCUGGUGUAAUCUCCCCAUUUUUGUUCAUCAUUAAUAUUAUCAUGUUGCUGGAAAGAGGGGCAAGUAUGACCACGAUGAAAAAAACAGGCCACGUCUUCCUUUUACACCGUGAAUUGCUGUGCCAAUCCCGGUAGAAGUGUUUUUUUUUUUUUUCUGGCCAGUCAUAAUAGUACAAUUAUAUCUGACCCCGUUAGUGACACACAAAUCCAAUUGUGUAGUUCUUUUUGUGGGGAGCUCACAAUAUUUCUUCCUUGCAGGCGCUCCCUCACAUAAAGUGCACUCAUGUGACUGUUGGGCUUUUAACAGCUGACUCUGUCCAGUCAGAUGAGACAUGUUAUAAUUCUCCUUCUCAUCCCACACUAAUCUGUCCUCAUAUUUUAAGUGGUGGGUUGGUUGGAAUAAGGAAAGGUGCCCACAAGCCAUACUUUCUCCUGUGUUACCUGAAUGAUUGUUUUCAUCGCUUACUUUAUGUCAUUGAUUGCUAAGAUUGUUUGCAAACUCAAUAAAGGAGUUUGAUGAUUAAGA